CAUGCAAGUCGAACGGAAUAAUGACUUCGGUUGUUAUUUAGUGGCGGAAGGGUUAGUAAUACAUAGAUAAUCUGCCCUCAACUUGGGAAUAACGGUUGGAAACGAUCGCUAAUACCGAAUGUAGUGUAAUUAGGCAUCUAAUAUAUAUUAAAGAAGGGGAUCUUCGGACCUUUCGGUUGAGGAAGAGUUUAUGCGAUAUCAGCUUGUUGGUGGGGUAAAAGCCCACCAAGGCGAUGACGUCUAGGCGGAUUGAGAGAUUGACCGCCAACACUGGGACUGAGACACUGCCCAGACUCCUACGGGAGGCUGCAGUCGAGAAUCUUUCGCAAUGGACGAAAGUCUGACGAAGCGACGCCGCGUGUGUGAUGAAGGCCUUAGGGUUGUAAAGCACUUUCGCCUGGGAAUAAGAGAGAUUGGCUAAUAUCCAAUCGAUUUGAGCGUACCAGGUAAAGAAGCACCGGCUAACUCCGUGCCAGCAGCUGCGGUAAUACGGAGGGUGCUAGCGUUAAUCGGAUUUAUUGGGCGUAAAGGGCGUGUAGGCGGAAAGGAAAGUUAGAUGUUAAAUUUUGGGGCUCAACCCCAAGUCAGCAUUUAAAACUAUCUUUCUAGAGGAUAGAUGGAGAAAAGGGAAUUCCACGUGUAGCGGUGAAAUGCGUAGAUAUGUGGAAGAACACCAGUGGCGAAGGCGCUUUUCUAAUUUAUACCUGACGCUAAGGCGCGAAAGCAAGGGGAGCAAACAGGAUUA
rnacentral:rRNA from 1 species